rnacentral:rRNA from 1 species
AUUGCUGGCGACCGGCGCACGGGUGAGUAACACGUAUCCAACCUGCCGAUAACUCGGGGAUAGCCUUUCGAAAGAAAGAUUAAUACCCGAUGGUAUAAUCAGACCGCAUGGUCUUGUUAUUAAAGAAUUUCGGUUAUCGAUGGGGGUGCGUUCCAUUAGGCAGUUGGUGAGGUAACGGCUCACCAAACCUUCGAUGGAUAGGGGUUCUGAGAGGAAGGUCCCCCACAUUGGAACUGAGACACGGUCCAA